ACUAGUUUCAAAGAUCCAACCGUCAAACAUGUUUGUAUAUACUUCAAGAUCGCAUACGUCAAAAUUUACAAAAAACAAACAUUCAGAGAUCAAUUAACGGACAAAACGUUUCGACGGUUAUAAACGAAAAAUCACGAUUUAACGGUCAUUUUAACUCCGAUUUUGAUGUUUUUUUACAACCACACUCCUUGACCUUAUAUGAAUACAAUGAUUGAAUUCGAUCUUCAAUUUAAAAUAUUUACACUAGUGGAUACCAAAAAAUCUUAUAUUAUACUUAAUAAAAGUAUGAAUAAACUAUUAAGUAUU
rnacentral:lncRNA from 1 species